rnacentral:rRNA from 1 species
UACGUAGGGUGCAAGCGUUAAUCGGAAUUACUGGGCGUAAAGCGUGCGCAGGCGGCUUUGCAAGACAGAUGUGAAAUCCCCGGGCUUAACCUGGGAACUGCAUUUGUGACUGUAGGGCUAGAGUACGGCAGAGGGGGAUGGAAUUCCGCGUGUAGCAGUGAAAUGCGUAGAUAUGCGGAGGAACACCGAUGGCGAAGGCAAUCCCCUGGGCCUGUACUGACGCUCAUGCACGAAAGCGUGGGGAGCAAACAGG